rnacentral:rRNA from 1 species
GUAAUACAUAGGUAACCUGCCCCUGUGCGGGGGAUAACAGGAGGAAACUCCUGCUAAUACCGCAUAGCCAUGAGCACCGCAUGGAGCUCAUGCCAAAUAUCCUUUCGGGGAUAGCGCAGGGAUGGACCUAUGGCGCAUUAGCUGGUUGGCGGGGCAACGGCCCACCAAGGCAACGAUGCGUAGCCGGCCUGAGAGGGCGGACGGCCACAUUGGGACUGAGACACGGCCCAGACUCCUACGGGAGGCAGCAGUAGGGAAUUUUCGGCAAUGGGGGAAACCCUGACCGAGCAACGCCGCGUGAGCGAAGAAGGCCUUCGGGUCGUAAAGCUCUGUUGUAAAGGAAGAACGGCGCAUACAGGAAAUGGUAUGCGAGUGACGGUACUUUACCAGAAAGCCACGGCUAACUACGUGCCAGCAGCCGCGGUAAUACGUAGGUGGCGAGCGUUAUCCGGAAUCAUUGGGCGUAAAGAGGGAGCAGGCGGCCGCAAGGGUCUGUGGUGAAAGACCGAAGCUAAACUUCGGUAAGCCAUGGAAACCGGGCGGCUAGAGUGCGGAAGAGGAUCGUGGAAUUCCAUGUGUAGCGGUGAAAUGCGUAGAUAUAUGGAGGAACACCAGUGGCGAAGGCGACGGUCUGGGCCGCAACUGACGCUCAUUCCCGAAAGCGUGGGGAGCAAAUAGGAUUAGAUAC